CACAUCUUGAAACUUGUUUAAUCCAACUGAAAGUACUCUCCCUUGCAAUGCUUGUGAGCAACAAAACAAUAAUAAUAAACCUUUCUACGGCUGCAACAGUUGCCAAUAUUUCCUCCAUGAAAACUGCCUCAACGCUCCGCGAUUUCUCGAUCAUUCAUCUCAUCCUGCCCACCCUUUAACCCUUCUCCCAAUUCCAACUUACCCGACUCGUUCCUUUCUUUGCAACGCUUGUGGAUCUUCUGGCAACGGAUUCAGCUUUAGCUGUGCCCGUUGCCAGUUUGAUAUCCACGUGCAAUGUGCCUCUUGUCCGAGUUCAUUACUCAUCGACAAGCACCCACAUCAAUUGGAGCUCAUAUUCGGUUCUCCUUACCAAGAUAGGGAUCAUAUCAAAUACGUUUGUGAUGUCUGCGAUGCAGUAAUGAACAAGGACAAUUGGUUGUACUAUUGUGCUGAUUGUGAUUUCGGGGCGCACUUGCAGUGUGCUAGCCCUGAACUUAAUGUUUACCCAGGAAGCCGAUCAAUUAAUCCAAAUGCUAAUUCAGCACUGGAGAUGAUAAAUUCAGUUAAUGAGAUUAGUGAUAAUUUUUUUGAAUAUCAACUUGCUAGUCGGAUGGCAACACGAUUAGGAGAAGAAAUGGUGGAUUCAACACGAACAUACAUUUACUAUUGACUAUAUAUUAAUGUCAUCAUCUUAUGAGUGAUAAUGCAUCCACUUUGAUAUUAUUCAUGUAAUUUCUGCAAAAUAUAAAUGCUUGAUCAUAAUUUGCAUGUCAUAUUAUUUAUGUUUUAUCGAUCUCGUGUGUUUAAUAUCGUUGCUGGAUAUGUUUCUCCAUCUUACGAUAUCUACUACAACUGUUUAAAUUUCCGCAUAGAAUAAUAAGAUUAAUUUCACAACUUAAUUAUGCACCAUUUUGAAAGCUUCACCUCUAUGUAUCUUUAAUUUAAGAGAGUAUUCCAACAGUGAUUUGUGCGCAACAACUGGGAGUCAGACUAAUAAAUUGAUCACUUGCCCUAAAACACGAUUAAUCAUAUAUCAUAUAUCAUAUAUAUAUAUAUAUAUAUAUAUAUAAAAGAGAAUCUUAGACCCACCUACGUGGCGCCUUCACAAAUCAGAAUUUCCGUUUAAUUUAUUUUAUUUCCAAAACUAGCCUUCCGCAUGAAGAGUUGCUACUUUUAUGAAGAAUUGCGACUUUUAUGAAGUGUUGCGACUUUUAUGAAAAGUUGUGACUUUUAUGAAAGGUUGUGACCUUUCCGAUAAGACACAAUAAGCAUUUGUUCACACUACCUUUUGCUGUCUAUAAAUAGAGGAAUUUCCUCUCAUUUUAAAACAACGAAAAUUUUGAACUUCUUCUUCUUCUGGACAAUUAAAUAAUUGUGUACUUUGCUCCUGUUGAAUGACUCACUGACACCAUUUUUUUGUAUCAAUACACCGGUGAAUAGAAUUGUUCUUUCCUGAGAGGAUCUAUUCCUUUAAAUCUCGGGUACUAGGAGGGAAUAAUUUCCUUAAGGGGACACUGUGCAUUCAGUGGACUCGAUUUUUUCCAUUCUGUUUCAUUCUAUUGUUACAGACCCUUGUAUGUUUUUACAGUCAUUAAUUUAUGCUUAUAUUAUUAAUUGUUAUUUUUGAGUACAUGCUUUAAAUUUUGUUGUUUAUGUUUCUGCAAUAUUAUUGUUAUAAGUAUUUGUUGGUAUAGUACAUAUUAAAUAACAAACGUUAAUUGAGUAUUCAAGCAAGUUUUCUCUACUGGAAUUGAUGAUGGUACGAUAAAAAAAACCCUUACGAAUCUCUAAUUUGUUCAUCAACAACUUCAUUUCUUCACAUACAAGGAUGAGAUUUCGUGUUCUUUAGAAAAUCCUCUGAGAGUUAAUAACUUUGCAUGCCCAUAUUUUUUUGUUUUUAUGUUGUUGUUAUCUAUUUAUACUAAAUUUUAUCACUAUAUAUUAUGAGUACUUGAAGGAUUGAAAGUUGAUUGAAGUGUUAGUCAAUUUUCUGAGGUAUAUAUGUUAUUUUAAAACAUGAGAACUUUUCAGGUUAGAAUGAUUUGUUUUCAUCAUUGGAUAUCUCACAAUUUACUCCCAUUUAAUGUAUGUUUUUUCUUGUUGUUUUGUUGUCUCCUUAAAUUUUUAUUGAUUAUUUUUUGUUUGGUAUGUUAUGAUCUCACUUGGACAAAGCUUUCGUCCUUUUAAUGUUUUCUUUUUUUUCCUUCUCAUUCAGCUCUACGAAAUAUUUUUGGUGUGAGUUAUGACUAUUUUCAGCAAGCUUCAUUUGAAGAAUAUGAAUUAAAAGCUGCUCUAAAUAAAAGUAAUAUCUUAAGCUACAAAAGAUAUGUCUAUCAACAUAGAUUUGUUGUCCUUUAUGUCCCAAGUCAUUAUUGAGUAUUAGAGUUAUCUAGGUUAGACUCAUGUUUAAUUUUUUAAUGUUCGAGAAUAUUUUUUUAAUUUUGAUCUACUUGUACUUUCAUAAUGCAACAACUAUACAUACAUAUUUCUGAAAAAGUUUGUAAAGUUGCAUUGAUGAAGCAUCUAGAAGGGCCUUCAGAGCAGCAGUUUAAUAAAGAAUGAAUUUAUAAAAGGGUCAACAAUAUUAUUUUUCUGUUGUUUCAAAUUUAUUUUUCUCCUUCUAGAAAUUUUGUUAGAGUAACAAAGUAACAAUAACGAAAAGUGGUGAACGUUUGACCUCAGACAAGUAGAUUGUCUCUAAAAAAAAUUAUGUAUAUUGUUGUGGUGUAAAUUUUUAACGGUCUUAACAUAUUUAUAACUAAUAUUGAUUAUCGAAAACUUUUAUAUAAUUUGUUUUUAACAAGGAGUUAUUCUAACCAUAAAAUUAUCAGUUCUAUAUUUUUCAUGUACAAAAAAAUAGAAAAAAAAAUGUUAAAUCGCUUCAUAUAAACAUCACUCAGUUUUAACAAGACAAUUAUAUCAUCAAACAUAUAUUAUGAUAAAUUAUGUAAAAGAUAAAAAUGAUUAGAUAUCAAGAUAUUUUUAAUCAUUCAUUAUAUAUCUAAAAUUCUUGAGAUAUGUGAUAUUGACAAAUCAUUUAAUUUCUAUUGAAAUGUUCUUAAAACCUACUAAAAUUUACAUUUUUUUUCUUAUAACAGUCGAUUAAGAGAACCCUAGGCUCGCUUACGUGGCGCCACCACAAACCAGGAUUCCCUUUUAACUUAUUUAUUUCUAAAACUAGCCUUCCCUUUUCGUGAAAAAUUGUGACUUUUAUGAAAAAAAUUGACUUUUAUGAAAAGUUGUGACUUUAAUGAGAGUUGCGACUUUUAUAAAAAGUUGUGACUUUUAUGAAAUGUUGUGAACUUUCCGAAUGGUUGCACUUUUCCAAAUAGUUGUAACAUUUCCGAUAAGACACAAUAAACAUUUGUUCACACUACCCUUUGUUAUCUAUAAAUAGAGGGAUUUCCUCCCAUUUUAAAACAACGAAAAUUCUGAACCUCCUCUUCUUCUUCUUCUACACAAUUAAAUAUUCGUAUACUUUGCUUAUGUUGAGUGGCUCACUGACACCAUUGCUUAUGUUACAGAUUCUGAUAUGUAUUUUACAGUCAUUAAUUUAUGUUUAUAUUAUUAAUGAUAAAUUAUUAGAUGUUAUAAUAUUUAUUUUCCUUUACAUUAUUAAUGUUUGUUACUACGUAACCUUGUAUGUAAGAUAAUAUAAUGUUUUAGUUUUAAUGACUGAUAGGUUUGAAGUAUUAUUUUAUAAAUUUCGUGAUAUUGAAUUCCGGUAAUUUUACUAGUUAAGGUAAGUUGUUUGGUAGAAGGGAUAAAAUUAGGGGUUAAACACGAAGGAUAGUGCUCGUCAUAUAUCAAUCAUCCCUAGGCUCAAAAAGUACUUAUUAUACGAACUCUCCAAUGUGCCUGUGUAUACAUACAUAUAUAUGAUCUAGAUAAAGAUUCAGAAUCCAUUAAAGGGUCUCUAGCAAAAAGUGAAAAGACGUGCGUUAGAGAUUUUUUUUUUUGUUCGUCUUAAAGAAUAAAAUAAAGUGUAUGAAAAAGGGUUAAAGUGCCUUGAAUUAUGGGAAACUGAACAAAAAUGCACUCAAUUAAUCGUUGGUGUUAAAAUAUCCUUAUCGUCAAUAGUUAAGUCCAAAAAUGUCCCUAUUGUUACUUAAUGGUUAAAAAAUGCUCCUUUCUAAUGAAUAUAUUACUAUUUUUUUUUUUUAAUCACAUUUUAUUUCUAAUAAAAAUAUUAAAUUUGUUUUUUUUUUUAACCUCCCCUAGAGCUCCCACCCCUUUUGCUCCCUUGGUGACUCGAACUCGCAACCUUUAGAUUGGAAGUGAGGGGUGCUUACUAGGGGUGUGCAUUCGAUUUUUUGAUUUGGUUUUAUACUAUUCGGUUUGAAUUUUUUGAUUUUUGGUUUUGAAGAAGUGUAAUCCAAUCCGAACCAAAAUAAAUUUGGUUUUUCUCUUUUUGGUUUGGGUUUUUUUCGAUUUGGUUAAUCUAUUAUGUCAAUAAUUAGAAACAUAACAAAGUUAUAUUUGCAAUUUAAACUUUAUAUAUAUAUAAUAUUGAAUUUCUUAAAUAUACUUUUUAAUAUAAAUCACAAGUAAAACGUAAAACACAAUACUUAAAAGUAUAUCAAUUAUAGAUGUCCAAACAUAAAAAAAUAAACUAAAUCAUAAUGAAAAUAACUAAAAAGGGACAAAAGUGGUUAACUCCAACUUAAUUCUAAACAUAUACAUACAUACAUACAUAUAUACAUAUAUACAUAUACAUACAUAUAUAUGUAUGUAUGUAUGUAUAUACAUACACAUAUAUAAUUCGGUUUUUUUUAUUUUUCGGUUUUCAUUUUUCUAAAUCCGAAACCAAACCAAAAAACCAAACAAAGUAAAUUAUAAAUCCAAAACCAAACCAAAAAUCCAAAAAACCAAUCCAAAUUAGAAUUCAGUUUGAUUUGGUUUGGUUUUUCGAUUUAAUCCAAAUAGUGCACACCCCUAGUGCUUACCAUCCCAGCAACUCUCUCUCAUCUUGUUUCUUUUAUUUUAAAAUCACUUUCUCUACAAAAUAAGUAGAAAAUAAUCUUAAAUAAUAUUUUUUUCUUCUUAAUUUCAUCAAUUAAUAUAAAAUAACUAUAUGUACCUUUUUAACUGACAAUAUAGGUCAAAUAUAUAAGAUCAUAAUAACCCCAACCCAUUAUAAUUUCAUUUUGGUUUUAGAUAAUUUCUUUUUUGAUAAAAUAGAAAUAUUUGUAUUUUCUUAAUUUUUUUUUAAUUGAAGUAGGAUAAACAUUUCCUAAUAAAAAUAUAUAUUAUUAGAAGAAAAAAAACAUGUUUAAAAAAGAAAAGAAAUAUUAUAUUUAUUUGAAAAAUAACAUUUUUAACUCUUUAAGUAAUAGUAGGAAUAUCUUUUUAACCAAACUAGUGACGACAAGAGCCUUUUUAGACUAGACUAUCGAUCGAGGGCAUUUUGUUCAAUUUCACAUAAUUCAAAGAUGUUUUUGACCCUUUUUCAUAAAUCUUAUAUGAAAUCUGAUCACAUCCACCUUGAGAAGUAUGGUAACACGAGAAAGACAACUUGAUCGAGAAUGAUAAUCAAAUAAAUAUAUGAUUGUGCGUCUGACAAGUUAAUCAUUGCCUUCAUUUAAAAAAGAAUGACCUAUAUUCUUUUUUAGUAUUUUUCAAAAAGAACAAUCUCUUUCCAUUUUGGGUAAAACUUUAAUUUCAACUUUUUCUGUGACAUAUUUAAAUCCAGAAGAUUAAAGAACAUAUUUGAUAUAUUUGACAGAACUUUAAUUAAGGAGCGCAACAUUAAAAAGUAAUUUUUAUUUUCUUGAACCCAAUUUCAAAUUAAAUUAGAUUAUUCUUUUUGAAAUCGUGAGAGUAUAAUAUUGAAACGCUGCAAUAAUCAAAACUUCAAAGUCUGAUAUGAACAAAUAGUCGACUAGCACUACGUACCAAAAUGAUUGAUGGCAUACCAACUUGCAAGAACAAAAAGUCAACCGAAAACUUCCAUGAACCUCAACAUAUUUAUACAUAGGGGUGUCAAAUGAGCGGGUUGAGUUGAAAUUGAAGAUACUAAAAUGGGUUGAAAUAGAAAUUGGAUUGGGUCUUGACCCGCCCAAGUUUACUUUGGGCUCAAAUGGGCUAAAAAAUGGGUUGGGUCUUGACCCGAUUAAUCUCAAUAUAAUUUUAACAUAGUGAUAUUUAACUUUUAUAAUCACAAUUCGAAUUUCAGCUCAAUUUUUUUUAUAAAAAAAAAGUAACAAAUGGAUAGAUAAAUCCUAAAAGGUGUUAAAUAGAUAAUAAUUCAUACCUUUAAUAGAGGAACAUAUCUUAAUAAAGAGUUUUAAAACGAGUUGAAAUUGGAGAUUCAAUUGAGCUCAAUUGAGGAUUUUCUUAAAAUGGGUUAGGCUUGAAUGUGUUGAGAUUGAAUCUAUGUUUCACAUAUAAGCAAACAAAAAAAAUCAUAUUUGUAUGCUAUAGCAAAAUUUGCAUAAUUGCGCUCCAUAGCAAACAUAUAAAUGUAUAAUUCGCUAUACAUAUAUACAAAAAGAAGCAAUUGUAUAAUUCGUUGGCUCCUCUUCAGAAUUGUAUAAUUUCGUUGGCAGGCCAUUUGUAUAAAUUGUUGUUAGUCUCUCGUUUGUAUAAAUCGUUGACAAACAUAAAUUAUACAUUAUACAAGCAUAAAACUGGGCAGGGGAAUAUUUUUAUUAUAUAAUUAUAAGUGUAUAGAACGAAUAUAUAUGUAUUUGCAUGUGUAUAUACAAUUUUCUCGCGUAUUAUACAAACAGAAACGCAAUUUAUACAAUUCUGUUGUAUAAAACGAGAAAGAGAGAAAGACAAAAGAGAACUGGGCAGGGGAAUAUUUUAUUGUAUAAUUAUAAGUGUAUAGGACGAAUAUAUAUGUAUUUGCAUGUGUAUAUACAAUUUUCUCUCGCUUUAUACAAACAGAAACGCAAUUUAUACACUUCUGUGUAUAAAGCGAGAGAGGCGAGCACAGAGAGAGUGAGCAAGAGAGGAGAGUGGCGAGCGAGAGUUUGAGGGAGAGAGGCGCUGGCAAACAGUUUGCUACAAGACACAAUUAAAUCAAAGUGUGAUUAUAUCAUUUAAUUUGAAUUAAUAGUUUGUCAUUAUGUACAUCUUAAAAUUUUGGGCGGGUUGAAAGGGUUAUCUAUGUUUGGGUUCAUUUUUGACACCCUUUAUACCUAGUGAAUACGAAGAUGCUCGACGCCAUUUUAGUCAAAGUCAAAAACAUGAAGAUGCUCGGCGCCAUUAGUACGUAGCCCAUGGAUAACAGCUAGUCAGUCAAUAAGAUAAAGAUGUUUAAAUAUACUUUUGCAUAACAAUUUGGCCAAAUUGUUAAUUAAUGUCGGAGACGACUUAGUAAAAGAAAAAGAAAUUAUGGAAGCAAAGUCGUCUAAAGGAAGCAACGUGACCAAGUUAUUGCAUCGUAUAGUUGAAUUAAAAUAUCUAUAAAUGUUUAUCACUUGCAGCUACCUAAGCUAACUCUCUAAUAUAUAUCCAUUAUAUUGCAGAACAAAAUUACAAGAAAAAAAAAAUGGGAAGACAAAACCGGGGUACAAAUGCGGGACCUCAAGAUAAACAACACUUCAGCCAUUCCCACAUCUUGAAACUAAUUGUGAAUCCAUCUGAAACAGUACUCCCUUGCAAUGCUUGUGAGCAACCAAACAAUACUAACAAACCUUUCUAUGGCUGCAACACCUGCCAAUAUUCUCCAUGAAACUGCUUCAAUGCUCCGCGUUUUCUCAAUCACGCGUCUCAUCCUUCCCAUCCCUUGACCCUUCUCCCAAGUGCGACUUAUUCGAGUUGUUCCUUUACUUGCAAGGCUUGUGACUCUGCUGGCAAUGUACUUUGCUUUAGCUGUGCUUGUUGUGAAUUUGAUAUCCACUUACAAUGUGCAUCUCUUUCGAGUUUUAUACUUGUUGAUAAAC
rnacentral:lncRNA from 1 species